rnacentral:misc_RNA from 1 species
AGCAGCCGCGGUAAUUCCAGCUCCAAUAGCGUAUAUUAAAGUUGUUGCAGUUAAAAAGCUCGUAGUUGAAUUUCGGGAUCAAUAUAUCGGUCGUGCCUUGGUACGUACUGGUAUCAUUGGUCUCUCCUUUCUGACGAACCAUGAUGUCAUUAAUUUGGUGUUAUGGGAAGUUAGGACUGUUACUUUGAAAAAUUAGAGUGUUUAAAGCAGGCUUUGGCUUGAAUACAUUAGCAUGGAAUAAUGAAAUAGGACGUUCGAACCUAUUUUGUUGGUUUCUAGGAUCAACGUAAUGAUUAAUAGGGAUAGUUGGGGGCAUUAGUAUUCAAUUGUCAGAGGUGAAAUUCUUGGAUUUAUUGAAGACUAACUACUGCGAAAGCAUUUGCCAAGGAUGUUUUCAUUAAUCAAGAACGAAAGUUAGGGGAUCGAAGACGAUCAGAUACCGUCGUAGUCUUAACCAUAAACUAUGCCGACUAGG